UCCUGGAGAAAGGAGCCAGUCUGCAGAGCCGGAGGUGGCCGUACGAGUCAGAGGGGACGCUAGGACAGACUGCCUGCCUGCUGAAAGCCGCGCGCAGGAGGCAGAGGCUGCUGCACAGCGAAAAGGAGGUGGAGAGGGUUCAUACGUUACUUCUGAAUGGAGUCCAGAGUGUUUGAUCCUUUCUGUGGGCCCAUGACAAAGGGAGAUGCUUUUCACGGCCUGGAACCAGUCGGUGAUAGCUUCACAUCCAGGAACAGCACAAAAGAUCGGGGCACCCAGCUGAGGGAUUCAACCAAAUCAGUGAGGCUGUCCUGUGCGCAACCAUCACUGACUGCAAAGGAGACAGCAAGAUCUGCUGAAGAUUAAAAGUACAGCGGACAACAGAAUGUGUUGCAGAAAGGAGAAAUGCCAGCUCACUUCCUAAAAUGGGAAUAUCCCAAAACAUUGUUCCCGGCGCAGGACUAUCUCAGGGGAAAGAUCAAGAAGCGGACAGUAACAUCUGCAGUGUGCCCCUCACCGCUGCAGGCCUCCGUAAUGCUCGAGGGAGGGAGAGGAACGCUAUUUGCCAUAGAUCCCAUGACCUCAUGAUCUCAUGGCAAAUAACCAGGGAACUUACACCCUAUAAAAUUCCCUUAAUUUAACUGUAACUGCCAACAAAUGGACUUCAACCUAAAUAGUGUAUCUUUCUUGAAAAGAAGCUACUGUGCUUUGGCACCCGACCUCAGCCCAUUAGACAGUCGCUGCUCACGUUGCUCUGGUGCUCCUAGGGCUUAGCAAAUGUAUCUGGCAUGUUUUUAGCACUUCUGUGCUUAGAUCCUCACCUUCAGGCCUGUCUAAACCCUCUGGAGGAGGCAUCUGCACAGCUUGUGAGCUGCAGUCCCUCGCACUCAUGAGAAGACAUUUGAAGGGGAAAUUGGAAAGUCAUGUAGUGGGAGUUUAUUUGCACAGUUCAGCAGCGUGCCCUAGCCAAGGACUCUUCUUAAAUGGUGGAGAACAGCCCAGGAGUCAUCUCUGCUACGUGGGGAAAACGAUUGAUGGGUGACAGUGGAGGAAAACUAAAUGUAGCACAAACACAGCGUGGGGCCUGGGAUGGCGUGCCAGCACCGUGCACUAACUGGUAGCACUGGGACUGGAGGGACAGGCAUCCUUGGAAAAGAAAAACAAGCCAAAGCCCCUAUUUUUGGGAGCUGGCAUAAGACCUCACUUCCCCCCGCCCAUCCUCAUGCCCAGCAUACGCACACAAACCAGGGAAGAGUUUCUUACCUACUACUUCAGCCUUUUUUUGUGGUAAAUGAAAAUGUUUGCUCAAGCCUUGAGUAGCUCUGUCUUAUUCUGUGCCUGUUUUGAGAAAACCUUGGAAAGCUCACGUGGAAAGCCUUGCUUAGCUGCCGUGAAGAAGGCGCACACGAAAAUGAGCUGGAGAAUGAAUGAGAACGAGCAAUAUACAGCACUCGCCGUGCCUUGGUUGCCUUUGAUGAAACGCCUGUUCUCUGCUCACUUUGAGGUCGGGCUGCUGCUAGGAGGGGAAAAGAGAAGGAGCUGUGGCAGUAUCAGGAGAGGUCAGGAGAAAUAGGAAGACACGACUGCUUUGACGUUAUUGUGACACUUCUUUGUUUUAAUACCAAGGAUCACAAAGAACGGGGCUGUUUGUUCCAAAAAUAAUGAAUGGAGUCAUUCAUUCACAUCUGUCCCUGAUUACUGGAGUCCACGGAUGAAGACAUAUACGUGCAUGAACAGGAAAAAAGGGAGUGAAAGCCUUAGAAGUCACUGGGAUUGCGGAGCUGCCCAGUUUUAGCGUACAGCUGCCGGUCCUGAGGUCUGCCCUGAAAUCCCAGCUCACUGAGGCUCGGCAAGUCUCCACUCCUCCUGGUUCCACAGGAAAGCUUGAACACCAACCCCCUAAAAACCACAGGAAUGAGUGAGAAAAAGGCAACACCGAUUUUUCUUUUAAAAAAUGUGCCGUUUUACGGUAACAGCAGGAUUUUCCUGAGGCUUGACUCAUCUUUUUGGAAGGGCCAGGGGCUCAGCACAGCUUCCCGAAGGGUGGUGGCAAGGCUGGGGAGGGUGCACGGCGAGGGGCGAGGUGCCCAGCGUGGGCAGCCGGCAGCCGGUGUGGGAAGGGAAGGCUUGUUUCCAUUUCCUUGAGGCAGAGCUCAGCUUUCACGUGUUUUAGGAGAACGCUCGAUAAGGCGCACGCUUCUUUCCAAAGGCCAAGCCCCAGCUUCGGUGCAUGCAUGCUCACUGCGUGGGUUUUUUCCUAUUUGCUUGCUGGCCGGAAAGCUGAAGUUUUUUGGAAAUGGAAGUUUUUUUUGUUUAACGGAGGAGGCAGCCCUGCAGCUAAUUCCUGCUUGCCUGGACGCUUUGCCUAAAUCCCCCCUUUUGCCAUGCCUCUCUAGCUCGUUAGCUCUGGGCCGGGAUUUAUUCCGUCGCCUAGCUCUGGAUUUGGUUGUUUUCCUUGCUGUCCUCCUUGGCGCUGGAGGGACCUACGCCAUGACUAAACUUUUCUGGCUUCGGUGCCAGCACAAUCAUGUGAGAGGUUCAGAGGCUACAGAAAAUGCUGAAGAAUCACAUCUGAAAAAGGAGAUUUCCAGCUUUUUGCACAUCAGGCUGCAGAGGAGAACGGGCAAAUUUAGGUGAAGUUCAGACAAAGGCUAUUCCUUGUAGGCAAGCCAAGAAACAUCCAGCACCUUCCAGUGUGGUUCACAAGUAGCAGUGUGACAUU